GACGAACGCUGGCGGCGUGCUUAACACAUGCAAGUCGAACGGAGUGGCGAACGGGGUAGUGACACGUGGGUGACCUGGUCGGUAAUUUGGGCUACGCUUGGGGAACUGGGUGUAAUACUGGGUAGUGUGGGAUGGACUCGCGGCCUAUCCGCUUGUUGGUGGGGUAAUUGCCUACCAAGGGGGCGACGGGUAGCCGGCCUGAGAGGGUGGACGGCCACAUUGGGACUGAGACACGGCCCAGACUCCUACGGGAGGCAGCAGUGGGGAAUAUUGCACAAUGGGCGGAAGCCUGAUGCAGCGACGCCGCGUGGGGGAUGACGGCCUUCGGGUUGUAAACUCCUUUCACCAUCGACGCGGUAGAUGGAGAAGAAGCACCGGCUAACUACGUGCCAGCAGCCGCGGUAAUUC
rnacentral:rRNA from 1 species